rnacentral:hammerhead_ribozyme from 1 species
AGUUGGUCGGGAGUUGUGGCAGCUCCCUUGAUGAGUACAUGGUAUAUGAUGAAACUAGCG